rnacentral:misc_RNA from 1 species
AGUUUAUGUGUUCUCUGAUAUGAACCCUUAUGUUGGUCAUCCUAAUCCUUUAAAAGAAGGGCAAGAAUUGUUUCGUAAGGGUCUCUUAAGUGAAGCAGUUCUUGCUUUGGAGGCUGAAGUCUUGAAGAACCCUGAAAAUGCUGAGGGUUGGAGGUUACUUGGCAUAGCACAUGCUGAAAACGAUGAUGAUCAACAGGCUAUAGCUGCUAUGAUGCGGGCACAGGAGGCUGAUCCCGCAAAUUUGGAAGUUCUUCUUUCCCUUGGAGUAAGUCAUACAAAUGAACUGGAGCAACAAGCUGCAUUGAAGUAUUUGUAUAGUUGGUUACGCCACCACCCGAAGUAUGGGAGUAUUGCGCCUCAGGAGCAGCCCAUUUCUUUCUAUCAUGCUGAUGUAGCUAGAUUGUUUACAGAUGCAGCUCAAAUGGCACCUGAGGAUGCUGACGUACACAUUGUACUUGGGGUGUUAUACAAUCUAUCAAGAGAGUAUGACAGAGCUAUAGAGUCUUUUAAGACAGCACUAGAGCUCAAACCUAGGGACUACUCACUCUGGAAUAAGCUUGGUGCAACACAAGCUAACAGUGUGCAGAGUUCUGAUGCAAUAUUGGCUUAUCAGCAGGCGCUAGAUAUAAAGCCUAACUAUGUACGUGCAUGGGCAAACAUGGGCAUCAGUUAU